GGGAGAAGAUUUACUAUGUAUUUGAAAGGCUUCCCCAAAAUGGGCAACUUCAGCUUAAGGAGGAAGUGGAUCUGAACUUGCUGAGAUACACACACACCGGGGCAAUGGAUUCCCAGAAUCAAGAUAGCUUCACCUUCUACCUUUGGGAUGGCAACAACAGGUCCCCUGCUCUUGACUGUCAAAUCACCAUCAAGGACAUGGAAAAAGGUGAUAUUGUCAUCCUUACAAAACCACUCGUGGUGUCUAAAGGUGAUAGAGGUUUCUUAACAACCACCACUCUCCUGGCUGUGGACGGAACAGACAAGCCUGAGGAACUGCUCUAUGUCAUCACCUCCCCUCCACGAUAUGGCCAGAUCGAAUAUGUUCACUAUCCUGGAGUUCCCAUUACAAACUUCAGCCAAAUGGAUAUAGCGGGGCAGACAGUUUGCUAUGUACACAAGAGCAAGGUGACUGUCUCCAGUGACAGAUUCAGAUUCAUCAUCAGCAAUGGACUGCGGACCGAGCACGGGGUGUUUGAGAUCACACUGGAGACUGUGGACAGAGCCCUGCCUGUGGUAACCAGGAACAAGGGGUUGAGACUGGCCCAAGGGGCCGUGGGCCUGCUUUCCCCUGACCUCCUUCAGCUGACCGACCCUGAUACACCUGUGGAGAACCUCACCUUCCUCUUGGUUCAGCUUCCCCAGCAUGGCCAGCUCUACCUGUGGGGGACAGGGCUACUUCAACACAAUUUCACCCAGCAGG
rnacentral:sRNA from 1 species